AUCGCCCCCCUUCUCUCCUCCCCAUUCUCCUCCCCCGUAAUUGCAUCAAUAUGCUGGGCCCAGGACAGAUGUUCAGAGAUGCUGAAUUCGGAUCUGGCAGCACAAGCCUAUGAAUGCACAAGUUUCUGUUGGCCAUCAGUGACCGUGGAAUUGUUGUCCAGUACAAUUUCUAACCACAUGGCUCCACCUGGGUGACCACGACAGGAAUUCAAUGGGAAAUAUGAAAAAUGCAAGGUGCAACCCAGGAGGAGCAGACACGAGUCUGUUCAUUUGGGAACCAAGGUUGGAUUGGUCUUCAUCUGGCAUCUCAUCCACAGCAAUUCCAUUAUGAGUGGCCUUGAGCUGCCAUUGCCUGAUGAAGUCUUCAAAGCACGUGCGAGUAAUUCCAUCUCAAAUUGGUUCCAAAGCAAGCAGCACGUUCUAAGAAGCAACAAUAACCAAAAGUAAAGAGGAAUCUGGACAUUUCCUUGUCUUCGCUAUCGGGAAAUAAAUAAAACGUUCACACAGUACCUU